UCUGUUUCCUGCUUCGUUGUAGUAAAUGAUUGCUGCAGUGUUGGGCCCGCUUAUUGUAAGAAAGAGGCGCUGCGAUAAGAACAAAUACUUCCUUAGUAUCAAGAGUCCUCAUAAAUAGUUUAAUUUUGGUUUGUUUCCUACUGCUGAGUAGCUGGGGCCUGCAGACUGAAGCAAUACUCCUGAGAAGCUGUAGUAUCUUAAAAGGCUAUCUCUGAAGUUCUCCGUGAGAAGUACUUAAAACUACACUGAAGAUUAAAGAGGAAAAAAAGAAAAAAAAAAAAAGAUUGUUCAGAAUGCUUUGGACACCACUGGUAGAAUUGGUUUGGGAAUUUCUCCCUUCAUGAGUUGCAAAAAUCUGAAUGUGCCUUCCAGUCUGCAGGAGGAUCGUGGCUGUGGUUGUUUGUAUGAAUAUGCCAUUUAUAUGAAUAUUUGUUUCCUGAUUUUGGAUAUACAGUAGAAUUUUAACAAAAAUAAGCUGCCUUUCCAACAGCUUUAAAAAUGUCUGUCAAGUGCUGUGCCAAAAAGCACAGUGAUGUCAUAAUCAGAGGUAUCUACUCCUGAAGUUUUAGGUUACUUU